GAUGAAUGUUGGCGGCGUGCCUGAGAUAUGCAAGUCGAACGCCCCACCGCAAGGUGGGAGUGGCGGACGGCUGAGUAACACGUAGGAAUCUUCCCCAAAAUAGGGCAUAGCUCGUCGAAAGACGGGGUAAUACCUUAUGGUCCCCUUCGCAAGAAGGGGUAAAGUACUUAACUGUACGUUUUGGGAUGAGCCUGCGGCUUAUCAGAUAGUUGGUGGGGUAACGGCCUACCAAGUCUAUUACGAGUAGCUGGUCUAAGAGGAUGGUCAGCCAGAGGGGGACUGAGACACGGCCCCCACACCUACGGGUGGCUG
rnacentral:rRNA from 1 species